AUUGAACGCUGGCGGCAUGCCUUACACAUGCAAGUCGAACGGUAACGCGGGGCAACCUGGCGACGAGUGGCGAACGGGUGAGUAAUGCAUCGGAACGUGCCCAGAAGUGGUGGAUAGCCCGUCGAAAGCCGGAUUCAUACCGCAUGAGACCUGAGGGUGAAAGCGGGGUAUCGCAAGACCUCGAGCCUUUGGAGCGGCCGAUGUCAGAUUAGCUAGUUGGUGGGGUAAAGGCCUACCAAGGCGACGAUCUGUAGCUGGUCUGAGAGGACGACCAGCCACACUGGGACUGAGACACGGCCCAGACUCCUACGGGAGGCAGCAGUGGGGAAUUUUGGACAAUGGGCGCAAGCCUGACCCAGCCAUGCCGCGUGCGGGAAGAAGGCCUUCGGGUUGUAAACCGCUUUUAUCAGGGAAGAAACGCUCUGGGCUAAUACCCUGGGGUAAUGACGGUACCUGAAGAAUAAGCACCGGCUAACUACGUG
rnacentral:rRNA from 1 species